GCAACCUUUUAUCAACAAGACAACAACCCUAUCAAAAACCUUAUCAAAAGUUCAAACUCUUGAAGAAUAAAAUCAAAGAUCCGUACCUGGUCGGCUAGUCUGCAGGUUGAAUGGAUGAUCGAUCGAAGCCUGUCUGCAGGGGAGGGCGGUAGAGAUGAAAGGGCGAUUGGCUUUAUUUGGGUAAAUGGGUUAUGUUUUGUUAAUUGAUUUAGUUAUUUGGGUUGGGUUUUACCAUAAACUUAUUCAAUUGGGCUUGAUGUUGGGUUAUAGGAAUACAAGUUUUAUUGUGGGCUAACUUGUUUACAAUUUUUUUUUAUAUAAAUUCUAACAUUUUUUUCUAAGGGGUGCGGUCAGAAUUUUUCAAGGGGUGCGGUCAAAAUUUUUCAAGGGGUGCGGUCGGGAUUUUUCGCGAAAAAUAACACUAAAUUUUUUUUUUCAAGGGGUGCGGCCGCCCGCUGUAACACCCCGUGUUUUCGAAUGUCAAAGUCAAAGUCAAAGUCCAAGUCAACUUUGACUUUCCUUGACUGUAGAUAGUCGAUUUUGUGUUUUAGUUGUAUUAUGUGGAGUAAGUGUUGUAAUCAGCAAGAAUCGAAGUAAUUGAACGUGUCU
rnacentral:lncRNA from 1 species